GACGAACCGUGCGAACGUUAUUCGGAAUCAUUGGGCUUAAAGGGCGCGUAGGCGGCGGUGUAAGUUGGAAGUGAAAUCCCAUCGGCUCAACCGUGGAAUAGCUCCCAGUACUGCAUCGCUCGAGGGGGAUAGGGGUCUGCGGAACUACCGGUGGAGCGGUGAAAUGUGUUGAUAUCGGUGGGAACGCCAGUGGCGAAAGCGGCAGACUUGACCCUUCCUGACGCUGAGGCGCGAAAGCUAGGGGAGCAAACGGG
rnacentral:rRNA from 1 species